rnacentral:rRNA from 1 species
AGGGAAUCUUCGGCAAUGGACGGAAGUCUGACCGAGCAACGCCGCGUGAGUGAAGAAGGUUUUCGGAUCGUAAAGCUCUGUUGUAAGAGAAGAACGAGUGUGAGAGUGGAAAGUUCACACUGUGACGGUAUCUUACCAGAAAGGGACGGCUAACUACGUGCCAGCAGCCGCGGUAAUACGUAGGUCCCGAGCGUUGUCCGGAUUUAUUGGGCGUAAAGCGAGCGCAGGCGGUUAGAUAAGUCUGAAGUUAAAGGCUGUGGCUUAACCAUAGUACGCUUUGGAAACUGUUUAACUUGAGUGCAAGAGGGGAGAGUGGAAUUCCAUGUGUAGCGGUGAAAUGCGUAGAUAUAUGGAGGAACACCGGUGGCGAAAGCGGCUCUCUGGCUUGUAACUGACGCUGAGGCUCGAAAGCGUGGGGAGCAAACAGGAUUAGAUACCCUGGUAGUCCGCGCCGUAAACGAUGAGUGCUAGGUGUUAGACCCUUUCCGGGGUUUAGUGCCGUAGCUAACGCAUUAAGCACUCCGCCUGGGGAGUACGACCGCAAGGUUG